UACGAAGGGUGCAAGCGUUACUCGGAAUUACUGGGCGUAAAGCGUGCGUAGGCGGUUUGUUAAGUCUGAUGUGAAAGCCCUGGGCUCAACCUGGGAAUGGCAUUGGAUACUGGCAACCUAGAAUGUGGUAGAGGGUGGCGGAAUUCCCGGUGUAGCAGUGAAAUGCGUAGAUAUCGGGAGGAACAUCCGUGGCGAAGGCGGCCACCUGGGCCUGCACUGACGCUCAUGCACGAAAGCGUGGGGAGCAAACAGG
rnacentral:rRNA from 1 species